rnacentral:rRNA from 1 species
GGCCGCGUCGACGGUGUACAGGUGGUGCAUGGUUGUCGUCAGCUCGUGUCGUGAGAUGUUGGGUUAAGUCCCGCAACGAGCGCAACCCUCGUUCUAUGUUGCCAGCACGUGAUGGUGGGAACUCAUAGGAGACUGCCGGGGUCAACUCGGAGGAAGGUGGGGAUGACGUCAAAUCAUCAUGCCCUUUAUGUCCUGGGCUUCACGCAUGCUACAAUGGCUGGUACAGAGAGAGGCGAACCCGUGAGGGUGAGCGAAUCCCUUAAAAGCCAGUCUCAGUUCGGAUCGUAGUCUGCAAUUCGACUACGUGAAGUCGGAAUCGCUAGUAAUCGUAGAUCAGCAUGCUACGGUGAAU